ACCCCCACUCCUGCUGCCUUCCUCAACUCUCAAGAACGGCUUCCGCCGUUUCUGUUAUCUCCGUCGAUCUCAAGAAGGGGAAGUGGUUGAGGCGGAGACCACCACGGGAGCCGUUCCCUUCCGGCUCCAAUUGGAUAAGCCCAUCCCCGUCAAGGUCGAUCCAUCGUAACCCUAACACUUUCUUGAUCUCUUGACUCUUCUUGAUCUGUGAUGUGUCUGCUUCUUUGGCGUAGAUCAGAAUGGGAUCCCGAGAAGAUAUGCUCGCCGCGGUCACCGAGGACUCCAUGAUCGUAACCCUUGCAUAGAUCAAGAUCGGAGCUCACAGAGGACUCCAAGAUCGUCUUGCCUCAUUUCAAGUGGCAGAGGCUUUGGAUUAUCCUCCUCCCCACGGUAAAUUCUUUUGAUCCCGAUACUUCUAUUUCCUGGGGUCGAAAUCUUAGUGUCAUUUGUGGUCUGCGUUUUGCACCUGCUAAAAGAUUUAUGUGGAGUUCAAUCUUUUCUCUGUUUCUUGAUUCUAGUUUUCUCCACUAACUUUCCGUGCUAUGGGAUAAACCACUUAGAAGGAAAUGCGAUUGAUACAUCAGCAUUGAGGUGACGAGGCGUAUUGACAUAGAUAGAUCUGGUUACAUGCAAGAGGAAGAAAAGAGAUCCCGGACUUGUUGGUUUGGUGUUUGAUGGUAAAGACUCAUGAAAUGCAAGUAAAGGAAUGCUAAAGAGGAAACUGGACAUUCUUGGCUACAUAUAUGCCAAUGGCUUUUAGUUGUGAAACCGACAAAUGGUUGUGUCUUUCUUCUUGGUGAUCACCUAAAACAUCCUGAUAUCUAGCCACUUUGAUUACACUAUAGCGGUUUUAAGCAUGGUUUUAGAUAUUGAUCAAGUGCUGGUCUCGACACAUUAUUACACCGGUUGAUGUACUAAUUAAUAGAUGACAAGUUUUAUAAGAAAAAAUAUAAAACAAAAAAUAGAAAACAAAGACUGACUUAUAUUUGAGACCAUGUUUUAAAUGCCAUAUAUUAAGUUAUGAUGGUUUUUUUCAGAUAUCUAUUCUUACAAUUAGUAUCUCUAACAUGCAUCCUCUCUAUGAGACUUUAAAAAUGUCCAGGACUGGAAAGGGCUUCAUGUGUUUACUUUUGCAUGGAAUUUAUAAGAAAAUAAUUAAGUGUAUGAUUAUUCUAUUAUGAAGAAUUUGAAGUUAAUGAGCUCCAGUUUUUGCUAUUGUUUUUAUUGUGGAUGUAAGCUGUGGCCAUCCUCCAACGUUUAUUUUACUGUAACACAUUAUAUAUAUUCAACUGAAAUUACCGGUUCGCUCGAGCGUAUAAGAUUAAGUUGUUCGGGUCGAACUCUGAGCCUCUAACUCAUCCUCUAAAUUGAUUUGUCUUUUUUUUGUGCAUUGAAUUUCAUUCAGCAAGCCAGUGUUAGAAGCAAAAUCGGAGACCUAAUUUAUAAACUUUUGUAGAACAAACUUCUCUCAACCAGAUGAGGUCUGUUGGCUGUGCACUUAGGAAAUUGUUAAUGUCUCAGUUUCACUGAUUUUAAUUUUUUUCUAAAAUUAUAAAAAUGAUUGUUCUAAGUUGCAAUUAUUGGAUGUCGAUGUCCUUGGCCGACAAUUUCAAUUUUAGGUUUCAGUGAUGAUAAUAUCUACUUUUUGCAACAUUUGAUGUUUACCCAUAGUUAAUAUUGGUGGAUGAAACAAGUUGAUGUUUGGAAACCUGGGCUUGAAAUUUAAUUAAAAUGCAUGCACCACUGAGACCGGAUGCAUAAAAAAAAAGAAAAGAUUUCCAUGGUUUAAAUAAUGUGUACACCUGCAAUGUUUUGAGUUUGUGGAAAAUAUUGUUAAAACAGGUGAUGUAUGUUAAAACAGGUGAUGUUUACUCAUUGAAGCCCAUAAGAAAUGGUUGAAAAGAACUUUUGUAAACUCUGAUUUGCUUGGAUCAAAAAAAUUGUGGCAUGUGUUUGAUGUAUGUGAACUGAUUAGACACAUGUAGUCUUAUGUUUGAUGUAUGUGUUCACUUUUCGAAAAGAAGAAUAUGCUGGGAAUGAAGAUCAUGGUUCAGAGUAAGCAUCCAUAGUUUAAAACAGGUGACUUUGCUAAUUAUGUCAUUGUUUGUUGUAUAUUAAAUAAGUUUAAUGUAUCUGUUCACUUUUAGGAGUGUGUACUAGCAAUGAUAUUCGAUUUUAUUAAGGUUUAGAAAACAAUGGUUCAAAUUAAAAAGAGUAAAUAUAAAUACAACACACAUUUAGUCUUGGGAAAGAGACUGACAGUUUAAAUCAAACAACCUUCGAUAAAGAACAACCAGUUUAUUCUGCACUCUUGGUGCCAACAAAAAUUGUGGUUGAUUCCUGAAGAACGACAGAAGGUUAGUGUCUUUGGAGCUUAAAUUUUUUUAUACUAUGGGGUAAUGCAGACAUUUUGUGUUAAUUACUGUUAAUAGGCUUUUGACAUUUUGCAUGAUUAAAUUUGAUGUUAGGUGCAUUAAAUUUAUAAAUAAGUAAACAUAUUUGCAUACAUUUGUUGGAUUGUGGUUCCGUGAAAUUUUUGGGGAGUUUAGGUUGCAAAUCAUUGUGUUGGUGCAAUAGUUAUGUUAAGUGAUUGCUUUGAUUACACAAUUUUGUUAUAAAUAUGCUGUCAGUUGAUGAAACAGGCAGAUGUGACUAUAUAAUUUAAGACAUUCACCAAAUAGGAUAUAAAAAGAAAUUUCAUACAAAUUUCAUAGAUCGGCUGUCGUCAGUGGUUUUCCACGACAUCUGAGUUUGUGUAAUUUACUUUACAUGGACUAAAUUUGUGUAUAUAAUAAAAAAAUUAGGCAUCUUUAUUGUUUAUAACAACGGUCGCUUUGGAGAUGACUCUGAGGAGUGUUGAAUACACUUUUAUUUUAUUUUUAUUUUAUACUGUGGAUGCCAACUAAAUCCGUCAAUUUCUUCUUGUUCCGUUAUCAGGAAGUUUGUUUUUUAUUGUUUUAGAUUGUUUAUUCUUAAAAACUUCUCGAAUGAGAAUUUGAAUUAUCAAUCUUUGCAGGUAAAUAACGCAGCAUUUGCUGUGAGCUCUGCCGCGGCUAUUUGGAGUUCGUAAUUUCCCGCCAGAAUUCUUGUGACACUCCACGAACUCGAGUUGUAGCUGUUUCGUACGAACUCGAGAACCUUUCGAAAGUGCAAUCUGCAGCAGCAAAAGUUUUUCUGGUCAAAAGAAAGGGUUGGGCAAAGCAAUAAAAAAGAACGCAGAUUGUGCUGAAAAUUUUUCAGAAUUAUUUACGAUUAUUUUCAAUAUCAAGGAAAAGGAAAUGCCAUUUUGUAAAUUUCUGACAUAUAUUACACAAAUUUUUAAAUAUUUAUUUGAUAGAUUUUAUGAUCAUAAUUAUAGUUUUAUGAUCAUCCAGUUUUACGAGUCCACAACCAAAAUAUUUUAGAUCAAAGUGGAUGGACGGUUUACUAGGAUAAUCAAAAUAUAUUACAAUAUCUUGCUCUGAAUUUGAAGGUGAGCAAGACCAGUGAUUUUAUUCUCAUUGUCUUUAGACUUAAUUUCUACGAGGUUAUGAAUUGGUUGUCUAUAUAUAUCUACUCGCUCUCUACUAUGUACGAAGGACCAUCAAUCCAAAUUGACAAGAUCCUGGUUUAUGUGAGAAUCAGAUAUGUGCCAGUUACUUUAGCACUGCAUUAUAAUUAAUU
rnacentral:lncRNA from 1 species